rnacentral:tRNA from 1 species
GCCAGAGUAGUUCAGUGGCAGAACGCUUCCAUGGUAAGGAAGAAGUCGCGGGUUCAAUUCCCGCCUCUGGCU